rnacentral:rRNA from 1 species
AGAUUGAACGCUGGCGGCGUGGCUAAAGCAUGCAAGUCGAGCGAACCCGCAAGGGUGAGCGGCGGACGGGUUAGUAAUACGAUCGAACGUACCUCGAGGUGGGGGAUAGGCACGGGAAACUGUGCGUAAUACCCCAUGAUCUCUCCGGAGCAAAGGUUUACCGCCUUGAGAUCGGCGAUCGUCCUAUCAGCUAGUUGGCGGGGUAAAGGCCCACCAAGGCUAUGACGGGUAGCAGGUGUGAGAGCACGACCUGCAACAUCGGGACUGAGACACUGCCCGGACUCCUACGGGAGGCUGCAGCGACGAAUCUUCCGCAAUGGGCGCAAGCCUGACGGAGCGACGCCGCGUGUGGGAUGAAGCGCCUUCGGUGUGUAAACCACUGUCAGGAAAUAGAACCAAUGAUCAUUUCCAAAGGAAGAGACGGCUAACCCUGUGCCAGCAGCCGC